CCUACGGGAGGCAGCAGUGGGGGAUAUUGCACAAUGGGGGGAACCCUGAUGCAGCGACGCCGCGUGGGCGAUGGAGUGCUUCGGCAUGUAAAGCCCUAUCAGCAGGGAAGAAAAUGACGGUACCUGACUAAGAAGCCCCGGCGAAAUACGUGCCAGCAGCCGCGGUAAUACGUAUGGGGCAAGCGUUAUCCGGAUUUACUGGGUGUAAAGGGAGCGUAGGCGGCCUGGCAAGCCUGAUGUGAAAUACCGGGGCCCAACCCCGGGGCGGCAUUGGGAACUGCCAGGCUGGAGUGCCGGAGAGGCAGGCGGAAUUCCUAGUGUAGCGGUGAAAUGCGUAGAUAUUAGGAGGAACACCGGCGGCGAAGGCGGCCUGCUGGACCGCGACUGACGUUGAGGCUCGAAAGCGUGGGGAGCGAACAGGAUUAGAUACCCGGGUAGUC
rnacentral:rRNA from 1 species